UGCCCCAAAGAUGCUGCAGCCCACAAUAGAGGUACCUCAUCUUGGAGGAGGACUUACUGCACUCGGACUCCCAUUACAAAAGGAGCUUUGCUUCAGUCCUGCAGUGCCAGUAGCAGUAAUCCUCAGCAGAGGAGGCCGGGAACGCCAUCCACAACCUUCAUACAGAGAAACACAUCACAGCCCUCUGAGCUCUGGGGUUGAACCAGCCAAAGCCCAGCAGCAAAAUAAAAGAAGCUGCAAGAGAUCCUCCCUUCAUGUUUGGCUUGAGGAGCUCAGCAAGGACACAAGGAGUCCAGUAUCUGUGUUCUGCUGCAUUUCUCUGCAGAGGUGAUGGAGGAGCCAGUGCUGCCCAGUGAAACUCUGAUUGGGUACCCCAGUCCUUGAUAGGUGAGACCUUGCUUACGUUGCAGGACUACUGCCACAUCAAGAGAGGAGUGCUCCACUGUCAUCUGUGUGGUAUUCUCAGUUUCAUGAGCUGCAAUUAAGCUAGCUGCCAAAUAAUGAUGUGGCAAAUCUGGGCGGUGUGGCCUCCUCCGAUCUGCUCCUGGAAGCUGGGCAGAUGAGCUAGAGAGGAAGACAUAUGCUCCGUUCAUCCUGGGUCAUAGUGAUGAUUUAUGACUUUAAAUAGAUCUUAAAUUUGCAGGUAAAACAUUUCCUACCCAGACAUACCAAAGACAGCACCAGUUCCUCCCGGUCCCCCCAGGUCCCUGUGUAAAAAGCAGGCACAAUAUUGCUGCCAUCCUUUUGAGCAGGGAUGAAUCAGCAGAGGGUGAAUAGCAGAAAGGGGCUGGUAUUGCUGAAGUCUCUCUGCAGACACAAACUACGUGAACAUAUUCAUCACAUCCUGAGAAUGUAGCCGGAUUUUCUUUUACACCUAUUGUUAUUAUAGGCUGGUUGGGCUUGAAAGGUAGAAAUCUGCUGUAUCCAACCCAGCCUGUCUCACGUAGUCGGCAAUUCCCAGCUACCACUGAGGGCUUUCCUGGUCUUCACAGGUGUGAGCACAGCAGAGCCAAUGCAGGUUAUGGGAAGCAGUCAGGGUUCACAUCCACUCUGCGCUAUUCCCUGUCUUGGCAAAGCCAUGGAAGCUGACAGCUUUAUUGCACAGGCAUUACCAAAGGUCUUGUCUGAAGUCGUGUCUCAGUGGAGGUGUGACUGGUGCCGCCAGUGGAAAAGUGCCACCUGGGAUGGAGUGUCCCAGCUCACUUUGGCUGGCUGGGAGGUGGCAGUGGCACAAUUUUCAGUUGCUCUCUCAAGCUGUUUGGCGAUGAUAAUUGAGGAAAUGAGGCUUUUUCUUCUAUUUAGAGAAGGACCACACUCCCCCCCCCCCCCAAGUAAUUCGUAUGUCCACAUAAAAUGUCAUUAUGCUGAACGAGAAAACUCUUGACUGCUUAAGACAGAAGCAAACUAAAGCUGCUACGUUUAACCAGCAUGGUGGCACUGUGGCACUGUGGUGCUGUGCUCCAGAUCGACGAGAGCUUCACUGAAUUCAUCAGCCCUAUCUUGUGAAGGACGGAGAGAGAGGAAAACUGCCAAGCAUCCUUUUCAACUGGUAUUUCUGAGGUGCUCACAGGAGAGUCAGAUGCAAACUUCUCUAAAUGGCCUCCAAAAUGCCAGGGCCGGGUGACGGGGUUGCCAUGAUUGUAUCAUGAGUCUUGCAUUGGUUGUGUGUUUUUCUUGGAGUCAGUUCCUGGAAUCACACAAUUAGGUAGGAACGUGUUCUUUAAUUCUCAAGGAAGGAAGUCCAUUUUGGGAUCUCCCUAUCCCUGAACCCUCACAACUAAAGGGAGCUGAGAAGAUUCUGGGUCGGCUUACCUGGCCAUGUGGAGCUAUUGGUAUGUUGUAGUGAGAUUCAUGCUUUUGAAAAGGGACAGUAAAAGCCUUUCUCCAUUUUCUUGAAAUCAUUUCCAGCACUUGAACGGCUGAAUACACAAAAACCCAUUAGCUCUUCCCUCAUCUCCUCUCUAACUCAGCACAGAGGCAGAGUAGCUCUUUGCAUCUGUGAAAAUGACCCAUUUUGGGUGCACGAAACAAGUUCUGCAGGGUGUAAAUAGUUUUGGUAAGAUCUUAGCAGCCUUUGAGUCUCUCAGCCUGUUUGUGUUGCCCACACCUCAUUGACUUCAAGGAGAUUCCUACUGGGUAUUAGCCUGGGAAAGGAGACUUGAGAGCCGAUGAGCUUAAUGAACUAAAGCCACCGCUUGGCUGCUGCACAAAGACGUGUGCAGCACAGGAACCUCCACAGUGGGCUUUAGCCCAUGGCCUUGCCGCAGAGGGGGGAAGCAUGUCUUUUGCCAAAGUUAAGGAUGCUGAGGCGAGUGCUGAAGGUUUUGCAGUGCAGUGCAGUUUAGAACCUGCUUUGUUUCCAAGGGGCCAUGAGAGCCUAAAUCUGGUUUUUGGGGCUGGCUCAUAAGCUGGGCAUCUAGGGUCAUGCAGCACCCACUCCCUGUGCAUUGCUGCCCACAGGCUCUGCCAGCAGUGGGGAGGUGCAAAGUAUGAGAGGACAAAAAGGCAGGCAGCACUGGGAGAGCGUUUAAAACCUCCCCAGACUUCUGCUG